rnacentral:piRNA from 1 species
UGAUAAUAAAUGGUAUGGCCCGGAU